AGAGUAUCAGUCAUGUGACCGUUCAAAAUGGCGCCUGGAAGCAGAAGGAAGUUUUAUUCAUCGACUAAACCUUAGAAUCACACAUGGCGCAGAGGUCUCGGGGUGAUGAUCCCGAAGCAGAAAUAAGAACAAUGCAGAUGCGAGAUGUCAAAGUGUGCCUCUUAGGGGACUCUGGUGUGGGGAAGUCUAGCAUUGUAAUGAGGUUUGUCAGCAACACUUACAAACCAUCCCUGGAAAGUACAAUUGGGUCUGCAAAUCUUUACAAACGUGUCUUUGCUAACAGAAUGUGGUAUGGGUUUCAGUUGUGGGACACAGCGGGUGAUGAAAAGUAUCGUGCCUUAGCUCCCAUGUACUACCGAGGUGCCGCAGCAGCAGUGAUAGUCUACGACACAACACGAGAGGUGACAUACAGAGCUGUGAAAAGCUGGGUGAAUGAACUUCGUUCUUAUGGACCUCCAAAAAUAGUCAUCGCCAUAGCUGGCAACAAAUGUGACCUUGAAGACUUGAGAGAAGUUAACAGAAAAGAUGCUGAAGAUUAUGCUCGAUCAAUCAGUGCUAUAUUCUGUGAGACAAGUGCUGUCACAGCUAUCAACGUUGAGGAUCUCUUUAUGGCUGUUGCUCGGCAGCUUCCACUAGAAGAUUUUUCAGAUGGUGACAGACGGAAUGGCAGUACAGUCAAUCUACGCAGCAGUCCUGAACAACGCAAGAAGCAGUGCUGUUCUGGUGGCAAGAAUUCUCCAUCAAGUUCUAGCACUAGCAGACCACAGAGCAGUAGACAGUCUUAAUGGUUAGUGAUUGUUAGCUGAUUAAAUAUGAUCUGUUUUAACUGGUUGUGGCCUUUUCACAGUUUUACUGUGUGAAGGAAAUGUAUGCUUCUUGUUUAAUUCUAUGAGCCUGAAGUGUGUGAUAUUUCCUGAGUUAUUCAUGCCACAGCACCUUUAAUUGUUCAACUUGAUGGAGCUAUAUAUAAAAUGAAACAUGGUAUUACUUUUGAUUUGGUCAUCUGAUGGUAUUAUUAACAUAUCUUUCUAUUUGCGGUGGAAACAAAUAAGCGUUUGCUCUGUUAAUAAAAUAACAGUGUAAUAAUGAACACGUGGAAAGAAGGAAAGUAAUGGUGUGAAUCACUGGUGCAGAUUUCUUUCAUUUAGAUCAUAUCUCCCUCCCCCCACCCACCAAUGAAUUGAUAAAUGAUGCACAGGAUUUUGUGGUUCUUUGUUAUGUGCCAAAUGCGCUACAAUCAUUAGGAUUUUUUAAAUUAUAUGACGAUUAUGGAUAUGUCUUGCACACAUACAUUGUUUAAAAAAAUUAAAUGGAUUUUCGUAUUAAUGAUUUGUCUGACAGCAUAUACCAAAAAAAAAAAAAAUAUUCAGAACUUAUUUUUUAGCAUUUUUAUUCACUGUGUUAGCAGCCAUCAAUGAUUUUGGCAGUGUUGAGAGAAUUUUCAGUAUUUUCACUACCUUUUGCAGUUAUAGCUUUUAAAUGAAAGAGCGAUAAAAGAAAUCUGUUCUGAACUCUAUUACUCUGUCUACUGGUUAAGACAUUGAUACAGACUAAUACAAGGUAGGAAAUAAUAAUGGCAGAUGAAAGAGUUCAAGUUAAAAACUAUGGUUACAGGAACAAGUCAUAUGUGAAAUAAAAAGGUUGUGAAAGGACAACAGAUAGCUGUCAGCAAGAUUAUUUCCUCAAUGUACCUAUGAACUUUGCACUUCAAGGCAAACUUUGGCUUUUAAAAUGUAUGCAGCUGUAUUUGUCAAUUUAUAAAGUGAUAUAAAAGAGCUUGUGCAAUAUAUAAUAAUAUGUUGGUAUACAGAUUACUGUAUGAUAUGAGUGUUUAUCUGCUUGCUUGUACAAUGAACCAUUUACCAAUGGAGAUUUUUUUAGUUAACUGAAGUAGCAAAUAUUUGAUACAAAUGGCAGUUGUAAAGGUAAACAGUAUCUUAAUUGUCCAUUACAGAAAGAAAUAUUACAGCAGUCAUGUUAAAUCUUAUAAAGAAGAAUAAAGCAGCAGGCAAGGUUGAUUUCUCUGUCAUACCAUGAAUGGGAUAUUAGUUCUUGGUCAUACUAAGUCAUACCCCAUGUAAAUCCACACUGUUUAUCUAUUCUUUACCACAUGUGGCAUGAGUUUUCCUUUUUUUUUUCUCUCUCUCUCUCUGUGAAGGCUUUGUAUAUUAGGUUGGUAUAUUCUGCUUUGCAGUAUGUUUAUUUUCUGCAUUCAUAGAUGUUGCUGGUGGCUUCAAAUGAAAGAGAAAAAAGAGAUUUACUUUGCAGAGCUAAUUUGUGAUAAUUUUACUCUGCAUCCCAAAAAUGGACAACUUUGUAACUUGCAAUGAAGAGAAAGUCAAAGAGAUAUGAAGUGAGCUAUAUGGUAGAAUUUCAUGUGUCCCACAUUCACAGGAAGCAGGUGGUAGCAUCUCUGGCACCUUUUAUCUGCUCAGUAAGAGUGCACUUUGUACCAGCAGUCACUUGGGAGAUGAUGGGUAAUGGAAAUACACUGUUAAAGCGAAUGCAGUGACCUUCAAAGAUUAUUUUGUAAUUUCUUGCUUGAAACAUAACCACUGUUUACUACAGUUACAACAUUGAUGGUGUUUAGUGGUAUAGCUUGCAGUAAUUAUUUUUUCCCAGACUUCUUUCAUGCAUGGUCUAUGUGAUCUCUGUUGGUAUGAUAUAAAGCUUAUAUUUGUAAUUACAAUUGAUUGAUGAAUAUGAAAAUGAAAUGAUACAAGUAAAAGACUUAUGAGAGGUUCAGGUAAUCUCUUGUGUGAUUUUCUUUGAUUAGGAGCAAUAUUAACUGAGACAUGAAUUAUUUUUUGUAGAAGUGUCACAGUUCAUUAUACUGUACAAGUUAAACUGAAUUUAUGCAAAGUUACAAGAUUUAUUUAGAUACAGUUUCUCUACAUCCAAUUAAAAAAAAAAUCUGUCUUGUUGAGAACAUUCUUCAAGAAAAUUUGAAUCAUUUUUAGACCUGGACUGAAUUCAAUACCCUACUUUUCAUACAUUUUCUAUUUCCAUCACACAGAAAUCAAAAAGUAUGAAAUACGUUACUCAACUCAAAAUUGUUUUCACUUCACCAGUGUAUUUGGUUUUCAUGCUAUUCACUAUUAGCCUUUUUGCAUGUGCCCCAAACCCUUAUUUAGCUGACCAGCUAUCAGUAGAAAUUAUUUGAGAUUAGCAGUACUCUUGAAUCUUUUUUAAUUAACCCUUGGUACAGUUGCAUUUAAUAUAUCUACAACACAGUUCUGAAAACGAUAAAUAAUGUUCUUUGGAUUAACUAAAUCUUUGGUAUAGUUUUAGAAUUUUAUGAAAGUGAUUGUUGGGAUUGAUUAUUUUUUUUGGUAAAGAUUUAAAAAUAAUUGAUAUCAGGAUAACAUGCAUCGAUUAUCAAAACACUUUCGCUUGUGAUUCAUUAAGUUUAUUAUUAUUUUUGCUAGUGAAAGACAAAUUUAAAAAAUAAAGAUGUUAUUGAUACUUAAA
rnacentral:misc_RNA from 1 species